UACAUGGGGUGCAAACGUUGCUCGGAAUUAUUGGGCGUAAAGCGCACGUAGGCGGUUUGUUAAGUCGGAUGUGAAAGCCCUCGGCUCAACUGAGGAAGUGCACCCGAAACUGGCGAGCUUGAGUACGAAAGAGGAUCGCGGAAUUCCCGGUGUAGAGGUGAAAUUCGUAGAUAUCGGGAGGAACACCGGUGGCGAAGGCGGCGAUCUGGGUCGAUACUGACGCUGAGGUACGAAAGCGUGGGGAGCAAACAGG
rnacentral:rRNA from 1 species